GACCUGCGGAAGGAUCAUUACUGAAAUGUAAUAACUUCUAUUGAAAGGUUCCAGAGUAGGCGCUACAACGCCGAAAUGACCUUCUCACCCUUGUGUACUCACUAUGUUGCUUUGGCGGGUCGACCUGGUUCCGACCCAGGCGGCCGGCGCCCCCAGCCUUAACUGGCCAGGACGCCCGGCUAAGUGCCCGCCAGUAUACAAAACUCAAGAAUUCAUUUUGUGAAGUCCUGAUAUAUCAUUUAAUUGAUUAAAACUUUCAACAACGGAUCUCUUGGUUCUGGCAUCGAUGAAGAACGCAGCGAAAUGCGAUAAGUAAUGUGAAUUGCAGAAUUCAGUGAAUCAUCGAAUCUUUGAACGCACAUUGCGCCCUCUGGUAUUCCGGAGGGCAUGCCUGUUCGAGCGUCAUUUCAACCCUCAAGCUCUGCUUGGUAUUGGGCAACGUCCGCUGCCGGACGUGCCUUGAAGACCUCGGCGACGGCGUCCUAGCCUCGAGCGUAGUAGUAAAAUAUCUCGCUUUGGAGUGCUGGGCGACGGCCGCCGGACAAUCGACCUUCGGUCUAUUUUUCCAAGGUUGACCUCGGAUCAGGUAGGGAUACCCGCUGAACUUAAGCAUAUCAAUAAGCGGAGGAAAAGAAACCAACAGGGAUUGCCUUAGUAACGGCGAGUGAAGCGGCAAUAGCUCAA
rnacentral:rRNA from 1 species